UACGGAGGGUGCGAGCGUUGUCCGGAAUCAUUGGGCGUAAAGGGCGCGUAGGCGGCCGAUCAAGUCGGGGGUGAAAGCCUGUGGCUCAACCACAGAAUUGCCUUCGAUACUGUUUGGCUUGAGACCGGAAGAGGUUAGUGGAACUGCGAGUGUAGAGGUGAAAUUCGUAGAUAUUCGCAGGAACACCAGUGGCGAAGGCGGCUGACUGGUCCGGUUCUGACGCUGAGGCGCGAAAGCGUGGGGAGCAAACAGG
rnacentral:rRNA from 1 species